AGUUCUUUUACUUAAUGGUAAAGUGCAUUUUUGAUAAGAAUGAUAUUUAAGUUCGAUUCUUAAAAGAACUA
rnacentral:tRNA from 1 species